UGUCAUAAACGCUCACCACUUUCCCAAGUGCAUGGUUUCAUCUAAAAUCCCCACUUUGUAUCAAAUUCAAACUAGGUAUUUUACUCUUCAGUUAGCAAACGUCUUUCAGUUUGGCAAGCGUUUCUACAAUUUGGUUUCUUUUGAAAGAAAGACCCAAAGACUUUGUGGAGAGGAAUUCAGCGCCAAAGUGGGGAGAUAGAGGAAACCCAUUUACAGCUUGGAAUACCACAAGUCUGAGACAGAAGGGAUUAUUUCUUCCUUGUUUGCAUCUAUGUCAUUUCUAGGCAAAAAAGGGGAUUCUUGAAAAAGAUAUAUGGCUUCAGGAGCUCACAAUUGUUUGGCCCAAUCAAAUCUGGGAACACUAGAGAAGUUAUCAC